UGGGGGAUAUUGCACAAUGGAGGAAACCCUGAUGCAGCGACGCCGCGUGAGGGAAGAAGGUCUUCGGAUUGUAAACCUCUGUCUUUGGGGACGAAGAAAGUGACGGUACCCAAAGAGGAAGCCACGGCUAACUACGUGCCAGCAGCCGCGGUAAUACGUAGGGGGCAAGCGUUGUCCGGAUUUACUGGGUGUAAAGGGCGCGCAGGCGGGAUAAAAAGUCAGUGGUGAAAUCCUACAGCUUAACUGUAGAACUGCCUUUGAUACUUUUAUUCUUGAGUUCGGGAGAGAGAGACGGAAUUCCAGGUGUAGUGGUGAAAUACGUAGAUAUCUGGAAGAACACCAGUUGCGAAGGCGGUCUCUUGGUCCGACACUGACGCUGAGGCGCGAAAGCGUGGGGAGCAAACA
rnacentral:rRNA from 1 species